rnacentral:piRNA from 1 species
UUCAAAGAGGUCAUCCGUAGUACUAGAGGGU